rnacentral:misc_RNA from 1 species
GAUGAAGAACGUAGCGAAAUGCGAUAAGUAAUGCGAAUUGCAGAAUCCGUGAGUCAUCGAAUCUUUGAACGCACAUUGCGCCCUUUGGUAUUCCGAAGGGCAUGCCUGUUCGAGCGUCAUUAUCACCCCUCAAGCCCCGGCUUGGUGUUGUGCUCUCGGUGGUCGUCUCCGACCACCCGUCUCAAAGAUAGUGACGGCGUCCCAGAGGGAACCGGUACGAGGAGCUUUCACGAGCAUGUACGCGGGACGACUCUGCGGGCGACGGUCUUAUUUACUUUAUAUACAAGUGUUGACCUCGGAUCAGGUAGGAAUACCCGCUGAACUUAAGCAUAUCAAUAAGCGGAGGA